CUACGGGGGGCACCAGUGGGGAAUAUUGCACAACGGGCGCAGGCCUGAUGCAGCCAUGCCGCGUGUAUGAAGAAGGCCUUCGGGUUGUAAAGUACUUUCAGCGGGGAGGAAGGGAGUAAAGUUAAUACCUUUGCUCAUUGACGUUACCCGCAGAAGAAGCACCGGCUAACUCCGUGUCAGCAGCCGCGGUAAUACGGAGGGUGCAAGCGUUAAUCGGAAUUACUGGGCGUAAAGCGCACGCAGGCGGUUUGUUAAGUCAGAUGUGAAAUCCCCGGGCUCAACCUGGGAACUGCAUCUGAUACUGGCAAGCUUGAGUCUCGUAGAGGGGGGUAGAAUUCCAGGUGUAGCGGUGAAAUGCGUAGAGAUCUGGAGGAAUACCGGUGGCGAAGGCGGCCCCCUGGACGAAGACUGACGCUCAGGUGCGAAAGCGUGGGGAGCAAACAGGAUUAGAUACCCCCGUAGUC
rnacentral:rRNA from 1 species